UACAGAGGGUGCGAGCGUUAAUCGGAAUUACUGGGCGUAAAGGGCGCGUAGGUGGUUAAUUAAGUUGGAUGUGAAAUCCCUGGGCUUAACCUAGGAACUGCAUACAAUACUGGUUAACUGGAGUGUGGUAGAGGGUAGUGGAAUUUCCGGUGUAGCGGUGAAAUGCGUAGAUAUCGGAAGGAACACCAGUGGCGAAGGCGGCUACCUGGACUAACACUGACACUGAGGCGCGAGAGCGUGGGGAGCAAACAGG
rnacentral:rRNA from 2 species